rnacentral:lncRNA from 1 species
UUGGUUGUAUAUAAUUAUAACUACACUGUAGUAGAAAUUACAAAAAAAACCUCCAACUAUAACAGUUGAAACUAUACCUAAAUUGAUCGUACUUCUAACUACAGCAAUUGGAGAUAUUAACUUUAAACAAAAAAUAUAUUUACCUCCGUAAUUUUUUUCUAAAUAAUAUAUAUACAUACAGUGAUAAAAUUUUAAAAAUUAUUUCUUAAUUGUAUGCAAUCAAACAAAUUAUUUAUAGUUAUAGUACUUUUUACUAUAUCGAACCAAACAGGAUGCACGAAAUUAUAACUGUUAUAUUUCUAAUUGCAUGUAUAUUCAAUUACACUGUAUUUAUAAUUAUAUCAAACUAAAUUAUUUAUAUAUGCUAAUACAUCAGCAACAAUAAUAAUUAUUUUAUAUUGUGAUUCAUCCUCAUAAAAUUAAUGC